CUACAGAGGGCUCAAGCGUUAAUCAGAAUCACUGGGCUUAAAGGGUGCGUAGGCGGACUCGUCAGUGUCUUGUGAAAUCCCACGGCUCAACCGUGGAACUGCAGGGCAUACUGCGAGUCUUGAACUCGGCAGGGGCAACCGGAACUCUAGGUGGAGCGGUGAAAUGCGUAGAUAUCUAGAGGAACGCCAAAGGCGAAGGCAGGUUGCUGGGCCGAUGUUGACGCUCAGGCACGAAAGCGUGGGGAGCGAACGGGAUUAGAUACCCUUGUAGUCC
rnacentral:rRNA from 1 species